GACGAACGCUGGCGGCGUGCUUAACACAUGCAAGUCGAACGGUGAACCAGGGCUUGCCCUGGGGAUCAGUGGCGAACGGGUGAGUAACACGUGGGCAACCUGCCCCUCGCUCUGGGAUAACCCCGGGAAACCGGGGCUAAUACCGGAUACGACCCGUGCGGACAUCCGCGCGGGUGGAAAGAUUUAUCGGCGAGGGAUGGGCCCGCGGCCUAUCAGCUAGUUGGUGGGGUAGUGGCCUACCAAGGCGACGACGGGUAGCCGGCCUGGGAGGGCGACCGGCCACACUGGGAAUGGGACACGGCCCAGACUCCUACGGGCGGCAGCAGUGGGGAAUAUUGCGCAAUGGGGGAAAGCCUGACGCAGGGACGCCGCGUGAGGGACGACGGCCUUCGGGUUGUAAACCUCUUUCAGCGCCGAAGAAGCGAAAGUGACGGUAGGCGCAGAAGAAGCACCGGCUAACUACGUGCCAGCCGCCGCCGUAAAAC
rnacentral:rRNA from 1 species